rnacentral:lncRNA from 10 species
GGCAUUUUUUUUUUUUAAUUGGAAGUUUCUUUCAAACUCUGCCUGCUUUUAGAUGGCUCCUCUUAGAACUAUGCAUCUCUCCUGAUACUUGGAUGCUUUUCCUCUGACUGAUGAAGAUCCUGAAUACCAAAGAGGGCCGCUGACAGGUCUAGGAGUACACUUCUAGCACCUAGCAGAGAGAGGCUUCACUACAUCAUGCUUCCUGACAUCUCUCCCUUUGAAGAGCAGUCAGACUCCUGCUUUGCUCUUCAGACUUAAUUUGGGGGUUUAACAGCCAUGUGAAGUGCUCACUCCCCCUUUGCCUUCUGCCAUGAUUGUGUGUUUCCUGAGGCCUCCCCAGAAGCUGAGAAGAUGCUUCCUGUACAGCCUGCAGAACUGUUUGAAUGAGAGAGGCAGAAGCACAUUUCCAAUCACUGGGGGAACCUGAGACCAUUCUUUCCAACCCAUUUUGCCAAAUGGAUGUCCUGAGGAAGGUGUUCCAAGAGAGGCGAUGUCAGGAUAGUG